GUGGGGAAUAUUGGACAAUGGGCGAAAGCCUGAUCCAGCCAUGCCGCGUGAGUGAUGAAGGCCUUAGGGUUGUAAAGCUCUUUCAGUAGGGAAGAUAAUGACGGUACCUACAGAAGAAGCCCCGGCUAACUUCGUGCCAGCAGCCGCGGUAAUACGAAGGGGGCUAGCGUUGUUCGGAUUUACUGGGCGUAAAGCGCACGUAGGCGGAUUGGUCAGUUAGAGGUGAAAUCCUGGAGCUCAACUCCAGAACUGCCUUUAAUACUGCCAGUCUAGAGUCCAGAAGAGGUGAGUGGAACUCCUAGUGUAGAGGUGGAAUUCGUAGAUAUUAGGAAGAACACCAGUGGCGAAGGCGGCUCACUGGCUCGAUACUGACGCUGAGGUGCGAAAGCGUGGGGAGCAAACAGGAUUAGAUACCCUGUAGUCC
rnacentral:rRNA from 1 species